rnacentral:lncRNA from 1 species
AUGGGCCCUGCCCAUUUACGCUCUCGCGCUCUCUCUCUCGUCUCUGUCUCUGUCUCUCUGUUCCUCUGUCUCUCUCUCUGUUCCUGUCUCUCUCUCUCUGUCUCUCUGUUCCUGUCUCUUUGUCUCUCUGAUUCUCUAUUCCUCUUUGUCUCUCUGUCUCUCUCUCUGUUCCUCUGUCUCUCUCUCUCUCUCUGUCUCUCUGUUCCUCUGUCUCUCUCUGUCUCUCUGUUCCUGUCUCUUUGUCUCUCUGUCUCUCUGUCUCUCUGUUCCUCUGUCUCUCUGUUCCUCUGUCUCUGUCUCUCUGUCUCUCUGUCUCUCUGUUCCUCUGUCUCUCUGUCUCUCUGUCUCUCUGUUCCUCUGUCUCUCUUCCUCUGUCUCUCUGGUCCUCUCUCUCUGUUCCUCUGUUCCUCUGUCUCUCUGUUCCUCUGUCUCUCUGUUCAUCUGUCUCUCUCUGUCUCUCACUGUCUCUCUGUUCCUGUCUCUUUGUCUCUCUGUCUCUCUGUUCCUCUGUCUCUCUCUCUUCCUCUGUCUCUCUCUUCAUCUGUCUCUCUCUCUGUCUCUCUGUUCCUGUCUCUCUGUUCUUCUGUCUCUCUGAUCCUCUGUCUUUCUGAUCCUCUGUCUCUCUGUCUCUCUGUUCCUGUGUCUCUCUCUCUCUGUUCCUCUGUCUCUCUGUUCCUGUGUCUCUCUCUCUCUGUUCCUCUGUCUCUCUGUCUCUCUGUUCCUCUGUCUCUCUCUCUCUGUUCCUCUGUCUCUCUCUCUCUGUCUCUCUGUUCCUCUGUCUCUCUCUCUGUUCGUCUGUCUCUCUCUCUCUGUCUCUCUGUUCCUCUGUCUCUCUCUCUGGUUCUGUCUCUGUCUCUCUGUUCCUCUGUCUCUGUCUCUCUGUUCCUCUGUCUCUCUGUCUCUCUGUUCCUGUCUCUUUGUCUCUCUGUCUCUCUGUUCCUGUCUCUCUCUCUUCCUGUCUCUCUCUUCCUCUGUCUCUCUCUUCAUCUGUCUCUCUCUCUGUCUCUCUGUCUCUCUGUUCCUCUGUCUCUGUUCUUCUGUCUCUCUGAUCCUCUGUCUCUCUCUCUGUCUCUCUGUUCCUCUGUCUCUGUUCUUCUGUCUCUCUGUUCCUCUGUCUCUCUCUUCCUCUCUCUCUGUCUCUCUCUCUCUGUCUCUCUGUUCCUCUGUCUCUCUCUCUCCCUGUUCCUCUGGCUCUCUCUCUCUGUUCCUCUGUCUCUCUGUUCCUCUGUCUCUCUCUCUGUUCCUCUCUCUCUCUGUCUCUCUGUUCCUCUGUCUCUCUAUCUCUGUCUCUCUCUCUGUUCCUCUGUCUCUCUGUUCCUCUGUCUCUCUGUUCCUCUGUCUCUCUGGUCAUCUGUCUCUCUCUCUCUGUUCCUCUGUCUCUCUCUGUGUGUCUCUGUUCCUCUGUCUCUCUGUUCCUCUGUCUCUCUCUUCCUCUGUCUCUCUCUUCCUCUGUCUCUCUGUUCAUCUGUCUCUCUCUCUGUCUCUCUGUCUCUCUGUUCCUCUGUCUCUCUCUCUGUCUCUCUGUUCCUCUGUCUCUCUCUGUCUCUCUCUGUCUGUCUCUCUCUGUCUCUCUGUCUCUCUCUCUCUAUCUCUCUGUCUCUGUUCCUCUGUUCCUCUGUCCCGCUCUCUGUCCCGCUCUCUGUGCUACUCCGUGCCCCACCCAUGCUCUCUCUCUCUCUCUCUAUGGUGACUGGCCGUGGCCGUGGCCGUCAGCCAUUUACCCUGUUCCUCCUCCUCGUCUCCCAUUCUCCCGCCCUUUAUAAUAAACUAGAGUCUGACGCCCCACGUCUCACGUUUUCUCUUUUCUUCUUUUUAAACAAAACAAUAACAACACCGCGGUGGGGGCCGGGACCCCGGAGGCCUCCGUUUCCCGGGGGUCAAACGUCAACCAGGGGAACUGGGGGACCCGAGGGAGACAGGGCUGACGUCACUGACACCCCCCCUCCUCUGGGACUGACGUCACUGACCCCCC